rnacentral:misc_RNA from 1 species
AGACAGGAGUGGGAAAAUUGAUUUUUUUGAACUUAGAGAUGCUCUAUAUGGGCUUGGGUAUGCAAUUCCUCCUUCUGUUCUACUAGUUCUGUAUUCCAAGUACGAUGAUGGUAGUGGCAGAAACAUUGAACUCAAUUUUGACAGUUUCAUUGAGUAAGUUCACAGUGUAAUACUCUGAUAUGCAUCUACUUUAAUAGACUUUGAAUCUGAUUAUAUUUCCAUUGUAUUUAUCUGUGUGAAAUAUGCAGAUGUGGGAUGAUUGUGAAGGUGAGCUCAUACUGCUAGUAUAUAAAUUACCUUUUCAGUUUAUUCAUGAGAAUCAUGCAAGUGUGCCCAUGUAGAAAACCUUUGUACUUUUACCCUUUUAUAUUUUGUUUGUGUUACUGAAAUGGCCAUGGGAAAUUGCUAUGAUUACAGGGUUUGACUGAAAAAUUUAAGGAGAAAGACUUGCGAUACACUGGUAUGGCAACAUUUAAGUAUGAUGAAUUCAUGUCCAUGGUCAUUCCAUUUCUUGUAUCAUACGAUUAGUUGUAAAUGAAUCUUUGAUUUCUAGUAUCCAUCUCAUUCAAUUAUUUGAUUUGAUUCUAUAUCUUUGAUUUGGAACAGCUCAUGUAUUCAAUUCAAACUCACAACAUGCUUGUUUUCUGAUCACAUAUGGCUGAAUUAUAUUGUAAUGAAGAUUGUUUUGCUAAUGUUUUCUAUAGUGGUGUUUUCAAACUAACCAGAGG